rnacentral:lncRNA from 1 species
GGGGCUAUGUGGAUGCAAAGACUGACAGUUCGGAAGGUCAACAGGAGUUCUGUAUUAAUUCUCCUUCAAUACUCUAUUAGUGCUGUAUAAAUGCUCUAGGAACACUCAGUGAUGUAUGGAUGCUCUAUGAAUGCUCUGAGAGCUGUAUAAAUGCUUUAUGAAUACUCAGAGCUCUAUGUAUACUCUGGGUGCUGUAUGAAUGCUCUAUGAAUGCUCUGAGAGCUUUAUGAAUACUAUAUGAAUACUCUGAGUGCUCUAUGAAUGCUAUAUGAGUGCAGUAUGAAUGCGCUAUAAAUGCUCUAUGAGGUCUGUAUAAACACUAUGAGGUCUGUAUAAAUGCUCUAUUUGAGUGUUGUAUAAAUGCUCUAUUUGAGUGUUGUAUAAAUGCUCUAUUUGAGUGUUGUAUAAAUGCUCCGAGUGCUGUAUAAAUGCUCUAUGAGUGCUGUUUAAAUGCUCUAUGAGGUCUGUAUAAAUGCUCUAUGAGUGUUCUCUGAAUGCUAUAUUGUUAGCACUGACCUUGUUCUUGUGCAGAUUACUGGAACCACUGGUCUGCAGGCUAGACCUGCUCUGUGUCUCCGCCUUCUUUAGGCGCAGCAGGUUCACCGUCUGACUCCGCCUCUCUCUGCGCUUCUUGCAUCCUACAGAAGGCACAGGCCGGUCUUGGCAAUGAAACAGAAAUUACAGGAAAUAUUCCCCCUAAGACUCAUAUAGUGUAAUAUAAACUGUAUUUCAGAACUGCCGUUCUGACGGUUGAAGUAACUGGAGCCCGUCCUGAAUCUGGUCCAAACUAGUAUUUUGUGCCUGGUUCUGGCCAAAGCAGGAUGGAUUCUGUCUGCUUGUCAAUGUGCGGUUCCUAGAGCGCCUGCAAUAUAUCCAUCUGAUUAAAUAAGUAGUCUGUCUUGUGCAAGCAGAACAAUUACAUAGUUCUGAAGCAGGAUGUUACAGUAUUACAGUCUUGCUCACCUGAAUCCCUUUCUCCUCCCUCCUCUUCCUCGUCGUCCCUCCUUUCCUUCAGUGUUUUUUUGAGGGCAGAGGACAUUGUCUCUCUCCUCUAUCUGAGCCAGCAGCAGCUGACUGCGGGUCUUAAAGGCAGCCAUCACCCUCUCCAACCAACAGGCCGGAGGACUAGUAUGGAUCUACAUAAGAAACACACUAACAGAAACUCCAUUGUUGCACACAUACCGCCACACUGGCGUUCACAAGUCAUGAAGGCAGUCAAAUUACCAUUUAGUCACAGUAAUUAGGCUUCUCCAAACUCUGAUGUUGCUGCUGGUCAUUAGUGGUCUACAAAACUUGCUAACUGCCUGGUACUCAGCACUCUACUGUCCCUCUAAUCACUCUGACAUCAAUGCAAAAUGUAAUUGGAAAUCUAAAUCAAACACUUUAUGAGAGCCCAGGAGCUCAUGUUUCGCAUUAUUUUUAUAGGCUAUGCAAUUGAGAAAAUCGAGUGAUGGCCUCUAAUAAAAAGAGGAGGAUCCCAGCAGCUUUCUAUAGGCUAGGCCUACUAUAUUUAUUACUCAACUUUACUAAUAUUAAGCACAUUGCGUCUCUUUACAACAGGAGUAUAGCCUACCUGGCUGGCAUGACAAUAAACCACGGGGAAAAGCAUCCUCCCAUCGCUAUUUAAGUGCAUAGAUGACAUGUAUUUUUUCCUGCUGCCCCUGUUUCGAUACAGGUGCAUGAUAAUGGUCCAUUCUAAAUCAAAACAAAUGUCACACAUAUAUUAUUUAGUAUAUGUAAAGACAAUAUUAAAUCAAGAAUAGUCUGAUGGGUGACAAUAUUAGCCUAUCACUUGUGAAUUAUACAUUAUCACUUGUGAAUGAUGGCCAGCGUAAGAAAUUACUUUUUCAAAUCAUAGUCGCAACCCUCAUGCAGCCUAGCCCAUAGGCCUAUAUGUUUUAAAAGCAUUACAUGCAUAAUUGCAUUUGCGGUCACUUUUGAUAAUGUUGUUUUCCCACUAAUGGAACAGUCAUGCUUAUAGCCUACUACCAUGUGCGCAUUGCUGAGCUUAUAAUGUGAAGAAAUAGCCUGAUAGUUUAUCAACAUUUUAAGCUAAACGUUCUGAUCGGUUGCGUCAGCUUCAUUGCAUAAAAAAGGUUAUUUGAUGCUAGUGGUUGUAUUAAUUUGGGAUCUAUCACAUCCCACAACUGUCCCAGACUAUGUUUGGAAUAUUUAUUUAUUGCACAGAAUAGGUCAACUUUUGUACUAUGGGGGAUAGUAGACUAACAUAAGCUAGUGUUAUUGCUGUUCGUUAGGCCGUGUCAUCAUGUUGGCUGAUAAAGUAAAUGUGGUCAAUUUUUUCAAAUCCUCAUUAGAGUCGCAUCAUGCAGCCUUAAUGUAUUAAACAUCAAAACAUAUAGCCCAACGUUUGUAGAACAACUAAAGUUACAUUAAUAACUCUAAAUUAAGCAUGUAGGAGUACCUAUUUCUUUGUUAACCGCUUAACACAGAAUAGCCGAAUGUGCUCACUCCCUCAAAUCCUCUGGAGAAAAUAUUCAGAUUUUAUUCAGCUUUGUUCAGUUGUAUUCUUCAUACUAUAAAACAAUAUAAAAUAAUGCCACGGAAUUCUAAGCAAAUCUUGUCUGCUAAAUGAACAAGUGUAGCCCGCAGCCAUUUGGCAUAGCCACAUCAGAACAACUCAGAGUAUACUAACAUUUUCUUCUGAAAUAGACUACAGUUUCUUCAUAUCAUGCUUCUUUAGACCUGUCUAAAAUAAAUAAUAAUUGUAUUGUGAAGGUGUAGGCUAUAUUACAUGGAUGUAUUAGACUUUUUUUAAAUGGCUUGUAGGCUAUGUGUGGAAGCCAGGAGAUGCUAAAUGUUUUUAUGUUAAUUAACGGUCAAUAUCCGUGAGACUGACAGUUAUUUGCUUGACAAUCACCAGGCUGACAAUAUUUUGUGACCGCCACAGCCCUACACACACACACACACACACACACACACACACACACACACACACACACACACACACACACACACACACACACACACACACACACACACACACACACACACACACACACACACACACACACACACACACACACACACACACACACACACACACACACCUCGUACAACCAUGGCCUUGGCUGAUCAUGGGAACUCUGAGGUCUCCAAGCUGACUUCCCAGAAGCCCCAGUGUCCAGCAAGGGUCUAAAGGAUCCCAGGAGGUCACCACAGAGACAAU